UGAAUAGAAGAUCAAGUUCUGGUGUUUUGAAUAAAAAAACUUCUUCUGAAAUUGUUGAUACUAAAGAAGAAAAAGCUGAUGAGUGCAAUAAGCCUGUGAAGAAUAAGUCUCCUUCUUCUGCUGUUAAGAAAAAAGCUUCUCUUCAGUCACCUAAAUCUGAAGUAGUUAUUGGUGAUCCCAGUUAGAUGUGGUCUCCCCGAUGGAAUCAUACUGAAUAUUCUUCUACAAGGGUUGAU